UUUUAACAAAUAUAUAUAACUGAUAGAAAAAUAAUAAGAUUCAUACAUUAUCAAUAUGAUAGUUGAAUAUUAUUAUCAAAAUUUUGUUCAACAUGUCACAUGUUAUUAAUCAAUAAUUUUAUCCAGUCAUCUUUCAGAGAAAUUACUUAUGAUAAUCUGGUUAACACAAUUUUGAUCCAAACAAUAUUAUUUUUUUAGCACUAGAUU
rnacentral:lncRNA from 1 species